AUGAAAGAGGAGAUCAUGUUCGACAACCAAUCCAAGCCAUGCAGAUCGAGGGUUGACUCCAAGAGUAACCAAAAUCCUCUCAAGCCCAAGUUCGGGUCAUCAUGGGGAUCCCAAAUUGUCAAGGGGUUCACAGCCGACAAGAAAACCAAGAAGACAUCAGCUAUUGCAAGCAAGAAGCCGCCUCUUGCAAGCAUGGAGAAUGUUAACCAGAGCAACCAACAGAUUACAUACCAAUCUAGGGUUAAGAGAUCUCUGAUAGGAGAUUUUCCUUGCUCGCCUGCUGGUGCUCAAGUUCAUCCCCAUGCCUUUGAUUGCCACGGUAUUAGGUCCCCGGCAUCUCAUGAUCUUUUUCUUGAGUUGGACCAUCUCAGGGAACAACUGCGUGAGUCCAAGGAAAGAGAAUCAGCUUUGCAAUCAGAGUUGCAGCAAUGCAGAGAAAAUCCAAGGGUUUCGGCACUUGAGAAGGAGCUUGAUUCUAGGAAGAAUGAGAUUGACAAGCUUGCACGGCUUAAAACUUCACUAGAAACUGAGAAAACAAGCCUUUCUGAACAGCUAUCAGUUCUAUCUUCUAUGGUGGAGCAGCAUGAAGAAACUGUAAGAUUGGAUGGGCAUGGCAAUCGCACUUCUAGUGCGGAUGGGGACAAUGUAUAUUCUUCAGGAAACUUGGAGUUUGAAGUUGUUGAGCUGCGUCGUUUAAACAAGGAGCUUCAGUUUCAGAAACGAAGUCUUGCAAUCAAGCUCUCUUCAGCAGAGUCCAAAUUGGCUGUCCUUGAAAAGAAUGCAGAGAGCGAGAUAGUCGCCAAGGUUCAAGCAGAGGCCUCAUUGUUGCGGCACACCAAUGCAAACUUGAGCAAGCAAGUUGAGGGCCUGCAAAUGAGUCGGCUGACUGAGGUUGAGGAGCUUGCUUAUCUUCGCUGGAUCAAUUCAUGUUUACGUCAUGAGCUCUGUAGCUCGGAUCAAACAGCCAGAGCAAUCACUGAUCUUGAUUAUAAUGAUGGUAUGGCUUGUAAUGAUGAUCAUUGUGAUGGCAACACCAGAAAUGGUGAGAACAGUUCUGAUGAUAAAAGGCUCAGCAUUGCCGAACGUAUCAAGCAAUGGUCUCAGAACGAUACAAACUGUCAAACAUCUAAAAAGGAAUCUCUUCUUGAUAGAGCAUGGAUUGAAGCCACAGAACCGCGAAGCCCCACACGUAGGCACUCACUUGGUGGAUCAAAGGGAUGUGCACAGGACUUGAACAUUGUGAAGAGGAGGCAAUCUGAUACCUUUAUCUGCCUUCCAGAGGCAACAGAGGAAGCAGUAUCCUGUAAUAAGGAUCAGGCAAGCAGGGAGAAGCGUGAGCUCCUUGUGGACAAGUAUGAUUUUGGUCAAUCUGAUAGUUCAAGAUUUGCUCUUGGCAAGCCAGAAAUAUGCAAGUCUCAAUGCUUGGAUGUCGAAAAGCGCACCCUGCGCAUUCCAAACCCUCCACCAAGACCUUCAGUGUCUCUGCCAUAUUCUGGUCCAUCAAAUGGAUCGACUGUAAAUCCACCCCGCCCACCUCCUCCGCCUCCCCCGCCUAAGUUUUCCACAAGAAGUACUGGAGUCAUGAAGAGGGCACCACAAGUUGCAGAGCUAUACCAUUCACUUAUGAGAAGGGAUUCAAAGAAAGAUACUUCUGGGGGUGGAAUCACUGAAACUGCUAACUCCGCAAAUGUGCGGAGUAGUAUGAUUGGUGAAAUCGAGAACCGUUCUUCGCAUUUGCAGGCUAUCAAGGCGGAUGUUGAGACUCAAGGUGAAUUUGUGAAAUCAUUGAUCAAGGAGGUGACUGAUGCAGCUUACAAAGAUAUAGAAGACGUUGUUGCAUUUGUGAAGUGGCUUGACGAUGAACUCGGUUUCCUGGUGGAUGAGAGAGCAGUGCUGAAGCAUUUUGAUUGGCCCGAGAGGAAGGCGGACACUUUACGAGAGGCGGCUUUUGGCUACCAAGACCUCAAAAAAUUGGAAUCGGAAGUUUCUAACUAUAAAGACGAUCCACGCCUUCCCUGUGACAUUGCACUUAAGAAAAUGAUAACAGUGUCUGAAAAGACGGAGCGAGGUGUGUACAACGUUCUGAGGACGAGGGAUGCAAUGAUGAGGCAGUGCAAGGAGUUCAACAUUCCAGUUGACUGGAUGCUUGACAACAAUCUCAUUAGCAAGAUCAAAUUUGCUUCUGUGAAAUUAGCAAAUAUGUACAUGAAAAGAGUUGCUAUGGAGCUUCAGUACAUGGGACCUCUGAACAAGGAUCUAGCUCUGGAGUACAUGCUCCUUCAGGCUGUGAGAUUUGCCUUCAGAAUUCAUCAGUUUGCUGGAGGAUUCGACACGGAGACCAUGGAUGCAUUUGAGGAGCUGAGGAAUCUUGUUCAUGUCAGGAACAGUACCCAGUAG
rnacentral:rRNA from 1 species